GUCUACAGCCAUACCACCCUGAAUGCGCCCAAUCUCGUCUGAUCUCGGAAGAUAAGCAGGGUCGGGCCUGGUUAGUACUUGGAUGGGAGAAAUGUAAUUGUGUUGUAUACC
rnacentral:rRNA from 1 species